CUGGCCUGAAUGAGAUCACUAGCUGGCACACACUGGGGAAAAGCAAACGUGUUAAACUUUAAACACUUGCAUUCACGGAGGCACCAAUAUGACAACAGGAUCAGGAGGCAACGAAAGCCACAAGUUGAUUGAGGACUUUGUUCCUUUUGAUGGGACCAUUAACUCUCUUCACAUUCUACAAGAUAAAUAUUAACAACUGACACUGAGAAGCAAUCACGAGAUACCCUGUAACUAACAAGCUCGAUCGACUCAGUUACGGAAGCACUCAAGUACUUACAGGAUUUCGCUGGGAUGUCUUGCCAAUUUGAAUGAAUAUAUUUUGCUAUGUCGUCUUAAGACUGAGGGCAUUUGUGAUGGAUGAAGUCUCCCUUCCAGAAAAAUGAAUAUUGCAUUUGAACAGAUGUUAGCAUCUAGGUAUCGGGUAUGCUACUAUAAGUUCAAUACCAAUCGGUGCAAAGUGUGUUUGGGUCCAAUUCCUUCAAGCACUCUCAAAAAUACAAGACCAGCAACCUCAAGAAUAAAGGCACCCGUGAGAUUAAUGCUACAUCCAAUAUAUGUCAGACUGUGGAAACUGUUCUGGAUCAGUUCGUUGUUUUGAGCCCCUGUAAUUUUAAAAGCAGCUAUCAAAUAAAUGACUCCUCUCUUGCCAAA